ACCUCCUUAGUUGUGGCAUGCAUGUGGGAUCUAGUUCCCUGACCAGGGAUCGAGGGAUUGAACCCCACACCCCCUGCACUGGGAGUGGGGAGUCUUAACCACUGUGCCACCAGGGAAGUCCCUGCCUUCCACACUUGAGGUGGGAAAUCCCCCAAAUAUAGACAGAGUGGCCAAAAGCAUGGCACAUGUUACCCACAGGUAAUCUUUAGAUAAAUCAGAGGGACAAGGAUGGCCCUUCCAGGUGAAAGGGUCUCAAAAGAGAAAGUAUGGUGAAGUGAUAAAGAGUGCAAACUCCAGAUGCAAAUGGUCUGGGUUGGAAUUCUUUUUUUUUUUAAUUAUUUAUUUUUGGCUGUGUUGGGUUUUCGUUGCUGCGCAUGGGCUUUCUCUAGUUGCUGUGAGCGGGGGCUACUCUUUGUUGAGGUGAACAGCCUUCUCAUUGCGGUGGCUUCUCGUUGCAGAGCAUGGGCUCUAGGCGUGCGGGCUUCAGUAGUUGUGGCACGUGGGCUCAGUAGUUGUGGCGCACGAGCUUAGUUGCUCCGCGGCAUGUGGGAUCUUCCCGGACCAGGGCUCAAACCCGUGUCUGCUGCAUUGGCAGGCGGAUUCUUAAUCACUGCGCCAUCAGGGAAGCCUUUUUGUUUUUUCUUUAAUUUUAAAAUUAUUUUUAUUUUUUUGGCUGCAUUGAGUCUUCAUUGCUGCGUGCGGGCUUUCUCUAGUUGCAGCGAGCGGGAGCUACGCUUCGUUGCAGCGCAUGGGCUUCUCAUUGCGGUGGCUUCUCAUAUCGCAGAGUACAGGCUCUAAGCGCCCGGGCUUCAGUAGUUGCAGCACGUGGGCUUCAGUAGUUAUGGCGUGUGGGCUCUAGAGUGCAGGCUCAGUAGUUGUGGCGCACGGGUUUAGUUGUUCCAUGGCAUGUAGGAUCUUCCCAGACCAGGCCUCGAACCUGUGUCCCCUGCAUUGGCAGGUGGAUUCUUAACCACUGCGCCACCAGGGAAGUCCCCAAGAAGGGUGACUGAUUGAACACGGAGGUUGCAGAAGAUGGAGUUGUCCUUUUAUUUUGCAACUGAAAUAUUAGUGCAAUCACAGUGUUAUUCACUGACAUAAAGCACAUGGUGAAUAUUUGUUUGAUGUUUCAUCAAAUAAAUGCUUUUAUUUUUGGCACA